GACGAACGCUGGCGGCGUGCCUAAUACAUGCAAGUAGAACGCACAGUUUAUACCGUAGCUUGCUACACCAUAGACUGUGAGUUGCGAACGGGUGAGUAACGCGUAGGUAACCUGCCUGGUAGCGGGGGAUAACUAUUGGAAACGAUAGCUAAUACCGCAUAAUAUUGAUUAUUGCAUGAUAAUUGUUUGAAAGAUGCUAUUGCAUCACUACCAGAUGGACCUGCGUUGUAUUAGCUAGUAGGUGAGGUAACGGUUCACCUAGGCGACGAUACAUAGCCGACCUGAGAGGGUGAUCGGCCACACUGGGACUGAGACACGGCCCAGACUCCUACGGGAGGCAGCAGUAGGGAAUCUUCGGCAAUGGACGAAAGUCUGACCGAGCAACGCCGCGUGAGUGAAGAAGGUUUUCGGAUCGUAAAGCUCUGUUGUAAGAGAAGAACGGGUGUGAGAGUGGAAAGUUCACACUGUGACGGUAUCUUACCAGAAAGGGACGGCUAACUACGUG
rnacentral:rRNA from 1 species